CUCUUGGCUUCCUGUGUACAUCUCCUUUUGUUUUCACAUUCCUAAAUUGCUUUUGUUUCCAUGUCCUCUCGUGCAAUGCGACGUGUUUCCAUGGUGUUGGUAUGUCUAUUGAUUGUCUGUCAUAGAUGGCAGUUCCUUGUUUGCUCCCUUGUGGAGUGCUUGGCGCCUCGGCUGCCGGCAACUCUCUUUUGUCUCUUGCCGUUUUGCAUAUUUUUGCUUCCUCCCAUUUUGUUCUUGUGUCAUGCUCAUGCGCUCUUCGUGUCAGGGCCGUGGUUUGUAUUCCCUUUCUUAUAUCAUUUUGAAAACUA
rnacentral:lncRNA from 1 species